AUUAAACGCUGGCGGCAUGCCUUACACAUGCAAGUCGAACGGCAGCACGGGGGCAACCCUGGUGGCGAGUGGCGAACGGGUGAGUAAAGCAUCGGAACGUGCCCUGGAGUGGGGGAGUAACGUAGCGAAAGUUACGCUAAUACCGCAUAUUCUGUGAGCAGGAAAGCAGGGGAUCGCAAGACCUUGCGCUCUGGGAGCGGCCGAUGUCGGAUUAGCUAGUUGGUGGGGUAAAAGGCCCUACCAAGGCGACGAUCCGUAGCGGGUCUGAGAGGAUGAUCCGCCACACUGGGACUGAGACACGGCCCAGACUCCUACGGGAGGCAGCAGUGGGGAAUUUUGGACAAUGGGCGAAAGCCUGAUCCAGCCAUGCCGCGUGAGUGAAGAAGGCCUCGGUUGUAAAGGAC
rnacentral:rRNA from 1 species